rnacentral:rRNA from 1 species
GACGAACGCUGGCGGCGUGCUUAACACAUGCAAGUCGAACGGAAAGGCCUGCUUUCCCUUGUGGAUUGCGGGUACUCGAGUGGCGAACGGGUGAGUAACACGUGAGUGAUCUGCCCCCAACUUGGGUAUAAGCCUGGGAAACUGGGUCUAAUUCCCGAUAGGACUGCAGGGUGGUGCCUGUGGUGGAAAACGAUUUUCUAGUGGUUGGGGAUGAGCUCGCGGCCUAUCAGCUUGUUGGUGGGGUAAUGGCCUACCAAGGCGGCGACGGGUAGCCGGCCUGGGAGGGUGGACGGGCAAAUGUGGACUGAGAUACGGCCCAGGCUCCUACGGCAGGAAGCAGUGGGGAAUAAUGCACGAGGGGCGGAAGCCUGAGGCAGGGACGCCGCGUGGGGAAUGACGGCCUUCGGGUUGUAAACUCCUUUCGACCGCGAGGAAGCCACCUGGUUGGAAGGGUGGUGACGGUAGUGGUAGAAGAAGCACCGGCUAACUACGUG